UACGUAGGGUGCGAGCGUUGUCCGGAAUUAUUGGGCGUAAAGAGCUCGUAGGCGGUUUGUCGCGUCUGCUGUGAAAACUGGGGGCUCAACCCCCAGCCUGCAGUGGGUACGGGCAGACUAGAGUGCGGUAGGGGAGAUUGGAAUUCCUGGUGUAGCGGUGGAAUGCGCAGGUAUCAGGAGGAACACCGAUGGCGAAGGCAGAUCUCUGGGCCGUAACUGACGCUGAGGAGCGAAAGCAUGGGGAGCGAACAGG
rnacentral:rRNA from 1 species